rnacentral:rRNA from 1 species
UGCCAGCAGCCGCGGUAAUACGGGGGGUGCAAGCGUUGUCCGGAAUCACUGGGCGUAAAGGGCGUGUAGGCGGAUAGUUAAGUCAGAUGUAAAAGUCCAUGGCUCAACCAUGGUUUGUCAUCUGAAACUGGCUAUCUUGAGUUCGAGAGAGGAUAGUGGAAUUCCAGGAGUAGCGGUGAAAUGCGUAGAUAUCUGGAAGAACACCUGAUGCGAAGGCGGCUAUCUGGCUCGCAACUGACGCUGAGGCGCGAAAGCGUGGGGAGCAAACAGGAUUAGAUA